GCAUUAAUGGGGUAGUGGUAACCUGGGUCGUUGCCAUGGACUUGGGAGCAUUGGUCUCAACCCGCCGGGGGUUCAAUUCCCCCUUAAUGCA